UUCACUGUAGCCUUGUAAAUAUGAUCCUUAUAAUUCUUAUGUUAAUUCAUGGAAUAAAUGGGAAAUCCCUUUAUGACCAAAUUUCCCAAUCUCCUCAAGACCUGAUAAAGUUCUCUAACGAAACAAUCAACAAUGAGCUCAAAUGUUCUCACAGUAUAUCCAGCUACGAUCGGACAUUUUGGUACAAACAGGAGAAAAAUGGAGCCAUGACACUUCUGGGUUUUAUGAAUCUUAACUUUCCUAACGUUGAAGAUGCUGUUAAAGACAAAAUCAACAUUAACGGAGAUGGUCGUUCAAAUACAAGUGUCUCCAUCUCAGAUCUCACAGUAGAAGACAGUGGAGUAUAUUAUUGUGCUCCCAGUAUGCACAGUGGUACAUUUUCCCUAGUCUCAUAUCAAAAACAAACUCCUUUCAAGCACAUUUGUAUUGGAAAACACCUGCGCAAAUGA